AGCAAGUACAAAGGAAACCCGAAUUCGUGUUUUAUGUCCAAUGGGGGUAUUCUGCAGCUCUUGAUUUGAAGCUAUUAUCUUGUUCCUUAACUACACAGAACAGGAAAUGCUUUUGGAAGAAAAAACACUUAAGCACUGGAUUAUACUGUGGGACAUCAGAUAGUUUUACAGUAUUUUUAUACCUUCUGCAGAAUCUAGCAGCAUUACCUUGGGGAAGCUGAGAUGACUGUAUAAAUUGAAACAGACCAUGUAGUCUGCAAACACCGUAACCUCUUUUUCCUGUCAACAAGCAGAAGAAAAGAGACAUUGGAUUCUCACAUGUGAUGAAACACCAGAAGGAAGAAAGAGAGAGAAAAGGAGCAGAAAUAAAAUGUCAGAUAGAGGAAGAGAGCAGUGUAAUGCAGCUGAAUUUAUGUGCAUUUAUGCAGUACAAAAUGGGUCUUAUGCAGCAACGUGACAACAAUGUCAAUUAUGACCAUAUCACUGCUACUUACCCAAAAGGAAAGGCCUACUCAGAUUGAUGUUUCUUGAUAUAUUGCAAUAUAUUGCAUGUAUAGUAUUUUGAUUUCAAAUAUAGUAUUUUGAUUUCGAGUAUUUUGAAUCCUUUGAGUUCUCCGGGCUGAAUUUAGGCAAUGUCAUAAUUGCAAACGUAUUAGAAAGGAAGAAAGAAAAAUUAAGUUUCUAUAUGCUUUCAGACCUAUCAGGCUAUGCACAUCUCAUUUAAUGGUGGAAAUCAGUUAGAACAUGCCACACAUUUUUAAGAGUUUUUUUUUUUUAAUACUCGGUUCUUAGUAGGGUUUCUUUGUGUAUAUACGUACAGGUAAUGAUACAAUAAGCACAAAAUUAAUUACCUUAUUUUAAAAUGUAGUUUUGGAUUUGCUCCUUUAUUUGACAAUAUUAAUUAUAGAGUCUGUGAAUAUUUCUCUGUUCUGUUUUUAAUAUGGUCUCUACCUAGUAGUUAAAUUAAAUGAUAGUUAUAUUAGAUUCAUGAGAGUACCUUCUUUCCUUCUGAAAUCUUUGCAUGUAGGGGCUUGGCAUAAGAGACCGUGAUGACAGAAUUCAGACCAUUAUCUUUUAUUGUUGCUUUUCUUGUGGCAAAUCUUACACCAAAUCUAGACAAAUUCAGAGUAGUGUGGAGGGAGAAGAGUAGAAGAGACUAUUUUUUUCUCCUGAAGGUUUUUCCCCUUUCUUUUUCCAAAAUGAUUACUGUGUUGACUUCCUGAAAUACACUAAAUAGGAAAAAAAUAUGUAAGUUCUAAGAAUUGCACAGUAUCUAUGUGAUCUGCACUAGAUUGGAGUAGGA